rnacentral:rRNA from 1 species
UUAAAUUGAAGAGUUUGAUCAUGGCUCAGAUUGAACGCUGGCGGCAGGCCUAACACAUGCAAGCCGAACGGUAACAGGAAGCAGCUUGCUGCUUUGCUGACGAGUGGCGGACGGGUGAGUAAUGUCUGGGAAACU